rnacentral:tRNA from 1 species
CGGGAAGUGGCGCAGUCCGGUUAGCGCGCGUGCCUUGGGCGCACGAGGCCGCGGGUUCAAAUCCCGCCUUCCCGA